GUUCAAUGAGAUCCUAAAACCUACAGCCAGAUCCUUAGCAGAUCCUUCAGAUCCUUAAACAAAUCCUUCAGGUUCAGUGAGAUCCUAAAAACCUACAGCUUGUUCCUGAACCGGAUCCUUCAGGUUCAAUGAGAUCCUAAAAACCUACAGACAGAUACUUAACCAGAUC